CUUUUUUUCAUAUUUUCCAUUUCCUUGUUUCUCCCUGCUCAUUCUGGAUCAGUUAUCUAGAUUUAUUUUCUGGUUCACAGAUUCUCACUUCAGUUAUCUCAUCUGCUAGUUCAUUAUUCCACUGAGUUCUUACCACCACCUCCUCAUCCCCCUGACCCCCAUUUUUUUUUUUUUUUUUGAGAUGAAACCUCACUCUGCGGCCCAGGCUGGGGUACAAUGGCUCAAUCUCGACUCACUGCAACCUCCACCUUUCAGGUUCAAGUGAUUCUCCUGCCUCAGCCUCCCGAGCAGCUAAGAUUAGAGGCACACACUGCCACACCUGACUAGUUUUUGUCUUUUUAGUAGAGAUGGGAUUUCACCAUGUUGGCCAGGCUGGUCUUGAACUCUGGACCUGAAAUGAUCUACCCUUCAGCCUCCCAAAGUGGUGAAAAUGUUACAGAAUAUUCAGGAGACAGGAGAGACCAAUAAGUGAAACAGGAGGAUUUUAUCAAGGUGGCUACUGGGUCAGCAGACUUGCAUCCCAAGGCUGAGCACCUAACAAAGACAGGGCUUGACUUUUUAUAAAUCCAGGAUGACGUAGCAGCUAACAGGUUUACAGAAGCCAGAACAAAGAACAGUUAAUUUAUUUGUAAAUAGCAUUUUGAGAAACAUAUUGCACAUUCUUUCAAUGUUAUCUUGCCCUAUGACCUUGCAGCUGGUCUGCAAGAAAAACAGGAAUCUUGAGAUGCCUGGGAACAUUGCUGAGAAAGUGGGGAGAAUAGAUAAGGUAGGUUUUACAGGGAGUUCGUUAAUUUCAAGGAGAGCUGGGGGUUAGGUUUUAUAUUGAACAAAACACAGUAAACUUUAUUAUAUAGCAACUACAAAUUAUUAGAUUUUGUUUUUACUAUUAUUGAUAUUAUUUAAUUUCCCUCUUCAGAAUUACAGGCAUGUGCCACCAUGCCCGGCUAAUUUCUGUAAAGAUGGGGUUUUGCCAUGUUGACUGGACUGGUCUUAAACUCCCGAUCUCAAAGGAUUCACACGCCUUGGCCUUCCAAAGUGCUGGGAUUACAGAGACAGGGUUUCGUCUUGUUGACCAGGCUGGUCUCGAACUACUGAUCUCAAGUGAUCCACCCACCUCGGCCUCCCAAAGUGCUGGGAUUACAGGCGUGAGCCACCACACUCGGCUGUUUCUGCUGACUCUCGUGGUGAUUGCCUUCUUGUGUGUUUGGUAAUCCUGUUUGUGAGUUCAUGGCUUGAUCAUAAUCUGUGGGAGUCCUCUGUACCAAACUUGGAAAGUUUCCUCCAGACAAGGUUGGUUUUCAUUCCUGUCCAUAAUAUUGAGGCUCAGAAGCCAAUACCCCAAAAUAUGGCAUUUUUACAUGCUGAACUAAGAAGUGUCAAGGUCUCUCUGAUCUACUCACACCUCAGCAGCUCUCCCUAAGAAGCUGAAGUUCCUUUACCUGCCUAAGAUCCAGACCCACCAAGGAAAAAAGUUUUCUUCCCUUCCCUGGGAAACCUGGCCAAUUGUCCUGUAGAAUUGAUAUUUAUGGUUCCUUUGAAUAAACACAGAAAUUUAUCCUUCUAGUCUUAAAAC
rnacentral:lncRNA from 13 species